ACCCCACUUUACACGCACGGUUCCAUGCACAAAUCUACGCGUGGCAGUUGUUAGCCCCAGCUUAGAGAUGAGGAAAACGCUGCUGGAAAAGCUAAGUGAGAAAAUCAGACUUCAGCACACCUGCCAUCUCCAAGACCACUACUACUCUAUGUGCUAGGGUCUCAAGGGUUGGGUGUGUGGCAUUUUAAGUGACUAAUUGUAGGUGGUUUUCUUCUCUCCUACACCUGUUUAGCCUGAACGUGCACGUACAUGCUCUGCUGCAGGUGCACUGCCGUAUGUAGACCAGCAAUGCUCUUUCCUGCCUCGGGUUCUCGUCACUGCCUUCCGGAAAAUCUCACCUGCUUUACAGCCAAGCCAGCAGCUGCUGCCUGGCUGGCCGACUGCAGAAGAACAGCCUCUGGUACUCCCGGGAAGCCCUCGGUAAAAGCGUGAACACCACGAUCACGUCUCAGGACGCCGCACAUGUUAGGGUCGCCCACAGACCGCCAUUCCCAGUGCCUAGAAGGCACUGAACGGGCCUCCUGCUCUUUGAUGGAAAUAGCUUCACUCUCAUCCACUGUGCACACUGCAGCCCACGCCUCUCGUCCACCGCGCCACACUGCAGCCUGCAAUUCACCCUGUACCAGGCUUUCCACACCGUACCUGAAAGUCACUAAGUAUAACCAAGAAGGAAAUGAAAAGCAGAUAAAUGACCUCCACCCCUACAUCCAGCAUGCAAAUGUUAAACAUUCAUCAAAGUAAAACCAAAAUCCCAUGUUAGCUCACGAUUGUAACUGGUAGAGUUAUGUGCAUGGCAAUUUUAAAAGUCUAGUUAAGUAAAAACCUAAUUGAGACUCUCAAGAAAGACAUCUGCAAAGAUUGACAGUGAGGAGAGGACUUCACUCUGCAUCCAGCCUGUUCUGGAAGCCACGGCCAAAUGCCAGGUUGUAUAGAUCCGAAAAGCAGGAAAAAACAAGUGUUGAAAGGUGUACAGUCUCAGCAAUGUACAAAUUCGAUGUAGGAUGCUCAGAAACCUUGAAUUUCCAAUCAGGAAACAGCAACAUGAGCAAGUUUCCCAGCAGUGCCCACUUUCUACCUACGGCACGUGUAACAGUUACGCUGGCCACCUCCGGGGGGACAGAGGCUUCCUGGUCACAUUCGCUCUGGCAGCCACACAGCUGGCCCCGCCACAAACACCUGUCUAAUACUGAGGAACCACUCUCUCCCUGGGCUUUGCUCACUCUAGCCAGGAGAGCAUAUUUACAGAGUACUUUACUGAGUCCUCGUUCAAUGCGUCAAGCUUGUUGAAGGCAGGGCAACCCCAUUCCUGGCCCAAUUAAGUGAACUGAGCAGAGCAAAUGCCUCCAGUUGGACGGCACUCAGUCACAACAGCAGUGGCCACUGUUCACAGGGCGCUGGCUUCGUGCCGAGAACAGUUACAAGCGUCUUCUCUCUGUCCGAGGAAUGUGCACUGCAACCCUGUGGGGCCGUUUGCAACGUCCACCAGAGUUCUGAGGCAGCCAAGUCCAGGCUGUCCGUGGGCCUUGCCACGUGGCCGUCCACGUCCCCUGCAGAUCAGACCUCACUGCAGGGACCACGGGUUCCAGGGCUGCCUUGAGGCACAUGCUCCCUUCACCACCUCCUCCUGGCCCCUGACAUCAACCCUCACCACUGCUGCCAACACUUGAUUUUCUCAUGGCUCCUGAGGGGCCUGUUCUGCCCUUCCCUGCUGCCUGCGUCCGGCUUGGAGGGUACCCACAUCAACGCCAACGCUCACGUAAUCACCAACCUUUCCACGGGGCUUGAUGCCUAGGAGUCUCAAUAUCAGAAAGUCAGAUUCCUGUGCUUGUUGGAGAAUUUCUUCCCAUUGUACAAGUGAAGGAGAUAAAAUUCUAGGUGCCUGCAAUAACCUCAUUUCCACAACGAAGCAACUUCAGUAGUAGCACAAAACAAACAAAAAAAGCUUUUUUUUUUUUAAACUUCUUUUAUACAAGCUAAAUACAAUUUAAUUUUUACAUCCACGUUCUCAUCAGCUCCCACCUGGUGAGCAGGCAAAUAGUAAUUUUCAAAGAAACAAAUUGUUGCAUAAUUUUAACACUUAGCAUUAUCACUAUUAAGCAAGAAGUAUCCCAAAAAUACAUGAUGAUCUUGUUCUCACGUUCAAAAAUUGAUUGUCACACAGUGAAAUAACACUUAAUGCAAAGGAAAGUUUCUUUUCAGGUAUCUGUUCUGGAAAAGAAAAAAGAUUUCUGGCAAAGAGAUAAACAUUAAUUAUGUAACAAUCCAAAAUGCCUCUGGGAAAAAUGAUGUCAUCCAAUUAGUUCUUUGAAGUGUUACAAAUGCAGCUGAGUUUUAAUAGUAAUUUCUCCAUAAUUAUCAAAAGAGUCUUUAAAAAUCUUAGUGCUGAAAUAACUAUAAAUGGAUAUAAUACGCAAAGCAGAAGAGUUAACAUUUGGGGUAGAUUUUGGCCCAUAUUUUUAACAUAUGCAUAGUUAUUCACCUAGUUGAAGCUUAUCCCUCUCCUCCUAGGCUCUUCAAGACUGAUUUUCAAACAUAGACUGGCUUUUGGUACAUGAAGGCAGCUUUAAAAGAUGUCAGGAUCAGGCCGGGCACAGUGGCUCAAGCCUGUAAUCCCAGUAUUUUAGGAGGGCAAGGUGGGCCGAUCAUUUGAGGCAAGGAGUUCGAGACCAGCCUGACCAAUAUGGCAAAACCCAGCCUAUAUUAAAUAUUUUUGUAAUUAGCCAAGCGUGGUGGCACACACCUAUAAUCCCAGCUACUUGGGAGGCUGAGGCAGGGAGAACUGCUUGAACCAGGAGGCGGAGGUUGCAGUGAGCCAAGAUCGCACCACUGCACUCCAGCUUGGGCGACAAAGAGAGACGGUCUCAAACUAGAACUUAGCCCUCAGGAAAAGCAUUGAGCACCCCCCACCCAAACCAACCCAAGGAAUCACAUGGCAAUGGUUAUCAUCUGAUUUCGACAAAUAAAGUUCUGUUCUCCCCUCUGAA